rnacentral:rRNA from 1 species
AGAGUUUGAUCCUGGCUCAGAUUGAACGCUGGCGGUAUGCUUAACACAUGCAAGUCGAACGGUAACAGCAAGAGCUUGCUCUUGGCUGACGAGUGGCGGACGGGUGAGUAACGCGUGGGAAUCUACCCAAUAGUUCGGGACAACCUGGUGAAAACCAGGCUAAUACCGGAUGUGAUCUACGGAUGAAAGCAGGGGACCUUCGGGCCUUGCGCUAUUGGAUGAGCCCGCGUUAGAUUAGCUAGUUGGUGGGGUAAAGGCCUACCAAGGCGACGAUCUAUAGCUGGUCUGAGAGGACGAUCAGCCACACUGGGACUGAGACACGGCCCAGACUCCUACGGGAGGCAGCAGUGGGGAAUAUUGGACAAUGGGGGCAACCCUGAUCUAGCAAUACCGCGUGUGUGAAGAAGGCCUGCGGGUUGUAAAGCACUUUCAAUUGUGAAGAAAAGAUUAAGGUUAAUAACCUUAGUCCUUGACGUUAACUUUAGAAGAAGCACCGGCUAACUCCGUGCCAGCAGCCGCGGUAAUACGGAGGGUGCGAGCGUUAAUCGGAAUUACUGGGCGUAAAGCGUGCGUAGGCGGUUAUUUAAGUCAGAUGUGAAAGCCCAGGGCUCAACCUUGGAACUGCAUUUGAAACUGGAUAACUAGAGUUUGGUAGAGGUGAGUAGAAUUCCUAGUGUAGCGGUGAAAUGCGUAGAUAUUAGGAGGAAUACCAGUGGCGAAGGCGGCUCACUGGACCAAAACUGACGCUGAGGCACGAAAGCGUGGGGAGCAAACGGGAUUAGAUACCCCGGUAGUCCACGCCGUAAACGAUGUCAACUAGUCGUUGGGCCUUUCGGGGCUUAGUGACGCAGCUAACGCGUGAAGUUGACCGCCUGGGGAGUACGGCCGCAAGGCUAAAACUCAAAUGAAUUGACGG